rnacentral:rRNA from 1 species
GACGAACGCUGGCGGCGUGCUUAACACAUGCAAGUCGAACGAUGAAGCCCAGCUUGCUGGGUGGAAGAGUGGCGAACGGGUGAGUAACACGUGAGUAACCUGCCCCUGACUCUGGGAUAAGCGCUAGAAAUGGCGUCUAAUACUGGAUAUGACCUAUCACCGCAUGGUGUGUGGGUGGAAAGAUGUAUCGAUUGGGGAUGGACUCGCGGCCUAUCAGCUUGUUGGUGAGGUAAUGGCUCACCAAGGCGACGACGGGUAGCGGGCCUGGGAGGGUGACCGGCCACACUGGGACUGAGACACGGCCCAGACUCCUACGGGAGGCAGCAGUGGGGAAUAUUGCACAAUGGGCGCAAGCCUGAUGCAGCAACGCCGCGUGAGGGAUGACGGCCUUCGGGUUGUAAACCUCUUUUAGUAGGGAAGAAGCGAGAGUGACGGUACCUGCAGAAAAAGCACCGGCUAACUACGUGCCAGCAGCCGCCGUAA